rnacentral:rRNA from 1 species
GAAUUCGCCCUUAGAGUUUGAUCCUGGCUCAGGACGAACGCUGGCGGCGUGCCUAACACAUGCAAGUCGAGCGGAGACAGUGAGUAGCUUGCUAUGAGCUGUUUUAGCGGCGAACGGGUGAGUAACGCGUGAGUAACCUGCCCUAGAGUGGGGGACAACAGUUGGAAACGACUGCUAAUACCGCAUAAGCCCACGGUGCCGCAUGACACUGAGGGAAAAGGAUUUAUUCGCUUUAGGAUGGACUCGCGUCCAAUUAGCUAGUUGGUGAGGUAACGGCCCACCAAGGCGACGAUUGGUAGCCGGACUGAGAGGUUGAACGGCCACAUUGGGACUGAGACACGGCCCAGACUCCUACGGGAGGCAGCAGUGGGGGGUAUUGCACAAUGGGGGAAACCCUGAUGCAGCGACGCCGCGUGGAGGAAGAAGGUUUUCGGAUUGUAAACUCCUGUCGUUAGGGACGAUAAUGACGGUACCUAACAAGAAAGCACCGGCUAACUACGUGCCAGCAGCCGCGGUAAAACGUAGGGUGCAAGCGUUGUCCGGAAUUACUGGGUGUAAAGGGAGCGCAGGCGGGAAGACAAGUUGGAAGUGAAAACCAUGGGCUCAACCCAUGAAUUGCUUUCAAAACUGUUUUUCUUGAGUAGUGCAGAGGUAGGCGGAAUUCCCGGUGUAGCGGUGGAAUGCGUAGAUAUCGGGAGGAACACCAGUGGCGAAGGCGGCCUACUGGGCACCAACUGACGCUGAGGCUCGAAAGUGUGGGUAGCAAACAGGAUUAGAUACCCUGGUAGUCCACACUGUAAA